AUGGGAACCAACACCGCUGUGGAUCUAUUGCGUUCUCUUUUAGGAGAGGAAAUCGGCCUAUGGUGGUUUUUUCCGGGUUUUUUGUUUUUUAAAUCUGGCGUCCACUCAGGGGCAAAAAAGGAUCUUUGGAGAAUUACGGAAGAAGAGUCAGAAACAUACCAGUCCAGAUCUAAACAAGAUUCUUCAUCAAGCAGAAUUCUGUACAACGCGAAAGCUUGCAUAUCGCCCCAUUCCUCUUUCUGUAUUCUGAGAGACCCUCAGAGUUACCAUGAAAAUCAUGUAAGCCCUUAUGUAAUAACAAACCAGUAGUUUUCAGUGAGUAUUAUGUAAAAAUCUAUUAUCACUUCAUUUUCUCUACUUUAAAACGGCUCAGUCCUUCUUACAGCCAAAGGGGACUCCAAUACAGUGAAUGUACAGUUUUUGGUGUUAGACUUUACUUAUGAUGCCAUAUUUGUUUGGUCUCAGGCGGGUGGACAGACAGACUCCGUCUCUACCACCCUGUGCAGUUUUGUGCGAGAGCAGCUAGG
rnacentral:lncRNA from 1 species